ACUCUCUUAGUAUAACAUAAYAGUACAACUGACUUCCAAUCA
rnacentral:tRNA from 1 species